GCUAGCGGUGUACCCCAGGAGAGCCGGCCCACCUUAUCUCCUUUCCCAGCCUGAGGGUGACCAAGCCACGGGUCUGCUAGUCUGAGAGAAGGCAUGGUUCACCUCUGGCACCCCGGCAGGCCGGAGAAAGCCAGACCACCCCGCAAACGAAUGGCAGAUUCAGCUGAGGCGCUCUUGCUCCUUCCUGUCCAGCACAGAUGCCCUGGUGGGGAGGGGAUGCUGCUGUGGGCGUCUCUGGCCUCCACAGGGGCUGUUCCAUUCGAGGAUGAUUGACAGUAUUUUUGUAUCCACCAUUGGAUGGCAGCAGCUGCAACAACCCAAAUAAACAGCAAAUAAAAGACCCUGCCCCAUAAGACUUUAAGUCUUAGGAAAACA